AAUAAUCUGAUCAUCUAGUUUUUAAAAUCUACAAUAUAAACUGUCUAUUAUAUAAUCUGGGUGGUUCCAAACAGGGCCUAAGAAAUGUAUAUUAUCCGUUUGUCUGUUAUCUCCUUGUUUCCACCGUAGCUUAAAUUUGAUGAUAUUUAAUAGAUUAAAUAGAAAAAAUAUAUCAGCAAAUUGGCCACCAUGGGAGAAUCACUGACCUUAUUUUGGUUGCGACCAAGUACAUUCAAAUGAUUUGACAAGAGUUCCAUCCACCCGUACAUUUCCCCUUACAUUUUUGUGAUGUAGUGUACAACCAUUCUUGAAAUUCUUACUGUGUUUGGUAUAUAUAUGACACCAUCUCCUUUUUUUAUCCGUGUGAAUAUAUGGCUGCACAAAAAAACAAGUGCAAAAUUAUUGUUUUUGGUAUGUGUAGCUCUUACUUAAGAAGUACCCACAUUUGAAUAAUCAUACAUAAAAUGUUGCGGCACUUAAUUCCCGUGAAAAUUACUAACGACGACUUGGUGAAAAUAUCAUAGAGCUAAACUUGAAGGUUCAUUUAUAGUUAUGUAGCCUGUUUGUGACGUUUGAGAUGUGUACAAAAAUUUUAGAGUAACUGGUCAAGAAUAGAACGCGUCGUGAGAUUAUGCCUGAAAUGCAGGAAUAGGGAAAGUGCAGUAUUGUAAUGUUUCAUAGCAUGUUGAAUUCCUACAGAGAUGAUAGGAAAAAUUCUUAUCCUGAUUAUGAUAUUCCCGUGGUGCAACCCUAUGAUCAAAAUAGGAAAACAAAUUAAGCAGAGGAAUGUUAUGUAUGCUAACACGCAGAGUGUGAAGGAAGAAACACUAUGAUGCUCUACUCACAGAGGCCAGAUAUCAUGUUUGUUUUCCUCCGAAAUUUGGAGGGAAAUUUCUGAUCCUAUGAGGUGCUGCUGCAAACCAAAUAUAUGAUCUAAACGAAAAGAUUAUAUUGGUGGUGUGGUGCCCAUGCGGCGGUAGCGUGCGCGCACGAGCGGAUGAGCAGUUGGAUGGCAGGCAGCGAUCGGCCGGAGCUUUAUUUUGUUCCAUGGGUGCAGGUGGUGGGUGCCGACCUGACCCGUCGCAUCCAAUCCAACCAACCAAGCAACCCUCUGAAUUUUCUCUGCAAAUGCUACUACCUUACCUAGUCGUCUAGCUGCCCACUACUGUACCAGUAGUGUCGAGAAAGCAAGCAGGCAUGGCUGGCAUGAGAAUAUACUGUACCUAGCUAGCUCGUUUGCUCCAUGCAUGCAUGUACAACUAUACUAUACGUGUACAAUCGUAUGCAUACAGUAGAGAGCAGCAGUGCUGCAUAUGUAGACCGAUUGACCGAUCGAUCACUGCCGUACGUACGUGCUA